CAGGUAUUAACUUGCAAAGGUUCAAGAGAAACAUUAAUUACAUCAAUCUCACUAUUCUAGGAGGAUUUGUGAAGACCAUGGAAUGUCCCUUCUUCCAGACCCAACUAAUACUGAAAUGGAAAAAGACAUUACUGCUGAAAUCUAUUGCCAAUAAUUUGAUCAUGUAAAUGAAGCAUUACAUCAAAAGUGACCAGCUUUGGUAAACAGAAAAUGUGAGGGCUCUGCAAAAUGAACCAGGAAAAGAUGAGAUUGUUAGAAUGGAUGUUAACCAUUCAACUUUGUGAAAACAUAGAGAACUCACUGUUGUAAAGGAAGAAAUAAUGUUUCAUUCAUGCUAGCCAGAGCAUCAAUAACGACUGAAGCAUCGAUAACAACAGCUACACUAAACCAUUUAAAAGAUGAGAUGAAAACAUAGCAGAAGGAAUCUAUAUGACUAUAUGUUCCAGUUGGUGAGUUUAUGAUAUAAGAAAAGUUAUAACCUAUACAAGAUGACCCUUUUUUUCUUUGCCUUUUAACAUUCUGUUAAAGCUAUUAGUGAUGUGGUUUAAAGUAGUAUAUGAAUGAGAUGACUUCCAUAAAAUAUAUUUCUG